AUUCAAAUCUAGGUCUUCCAGCUCCAGGUCUUUUAUCUCAUAAGUAUUAACACUUCCAUGGAGAAUGCCUCAAAACUCAUUUCAAGAAUUCCACAGAGUGAAGUAGAAGUAUAUUUCUCAGCAAUGUUACUCAAAAAAAAAGAGACAAACAUGAAAUCUCACCUUCAUGGAAUGAACAGCAGAAACAAGUAAAUACAUCACUCCAUCAAGAAGACACACCGGUCACCUCUGAGAUGUUCAGACUCCAGGAAAGAGAGUUUCAUUGAGCAUGCAAUGCUGAUAAGUUCAGCAACCUGAUAAAAAAGGAGAGCUUUAAAGGACUCAUUUUGGUUUAUCAAAUCAGUGAUCCAUAAAGUUAAAAAUCUCUCUAAAGUGGGACCUGACAUGACAGACUGCAACAAUUCUGUGUGGGCUGUUCCAAUUUAUCACUUUAAUGGCAUUCUGCAUUUGCCUGAUUGACUGGAGCAAAUCUUAGAGACAUGCUGAUGCUCAGGAAACAAGUGACCACUGAUCAAGCACAUGGUAUGGUAUUAACACUAGGGCCCCUCUGUAGGUCCAUGGACACCCUAUGACUUGCUUCUGUGUGACUAUGUUGACUUUGUUAUGCUUUUAUCUUAUUAGCUUUUACAUUACUAUUUUUUGGAAGUGGAUUCCCAUCCCUCAUAUAAAAUGUAUUUGGUGCUCUGUGACUGGGAAUAGUUUUAAAAAAUCACUGAAAUGAAUUAACGUCUCCAAAAAAUAUUACUUAAGAGCAUUAACAUUGAUGGUACAGAAAAGCAAAUCUUUCGUGAUCACAAAAUCCAGGACCGGUUCUCAGUAACAAAUGAAAAAGUAAUUGUUGAAACAACAANNNNNNNNNNNNNNNNNNNNNNNNNNNNNNNNNNNNNNNNNNNNNNNNNNNNNNNNNNNNNNNNNNNNNNNNNNNNNNNNNNNNNNNNNNNNNNNNNNNAAAGUAAUUGUUGAAACAACAACAAAAAAAGGAUGAUUAAGUGAAUCUUGACCAAAGGAAGAGAAGGUCCUAAAGCUUCAUCCUUGGUAGAAAUUAUAUUGGUCACUCAACUCCACCAACUUUAAGCUAUUAAUCAAGGCUUUCUUAUUCCAGGUGUUGAAAUUAAAUUUCUGAACAAAGCUUAGUCUUCUGAGUCUUCAUCAAGCACUCUUUUUAUAACUAAUACAAAAAAAAAAAACUUUCCAGGAAUACACUUCAUCCUUUUUUAAUAACAUACUGAGUCACUUAAAUAUUUUAUAAGUUUGACAUUUAAUUUUAAAAUCUAAUGAGUUGUUUUCCCUUUCUCUUCCUCUCCUUCUUCAACAAUUUAAUAAUAAAUCCAGUAAGUAGGACAUAGGGUGCAGUAAAGUAAGUAAAUAGGCCAGUAGGGAUUGGGGUGUAGAGAGCUGAAUGGUCCAGCUCAGGGUGCCAGAAACUGAAGUGAGUAAGGACAUAUGUGUGGGAAAGCUACCCAGAGUAUGGUGUCACAGCCCAGAGUGCAGAAGCAUCCGCAUGGGAGGGUCAUCUGGCACAGGGUUGCGAGGCCAAGCAGAGUGAGGAGAGCUUCCAUGCAGAGCAGGGAAUAGCCGGGGCAAUGGAAGCCGGGUUGCAUAUGGGGAAGGUGAUCAAAUAAGUACACACAUUCAAUACAAUUGGAGCUAUUCACUGUUAGAGAGGGAAGAUACAAACAAAGAAAUGGAACAAAUAGAAGGAACUCAAUGGUGUUGGAUGUAUGCUUAGUCACUCAGUUGUGUCCGACUUUUUGCAACCCCAUGGACUGUAGCCUGCCAGGCUCCUCUGUNNNNNNNNGGGGAUUCUCCAGGUAAGAAUACAACCCAGGAGUGGGUUGCCAUGCCCUCAUCCAGGGGAUCUUCCCAACCCAAGGAUAGAAGCCAGGUCUCCCACAUUGCAGGUAGAUUCUUUACCUUCUGAGCCACCAGGAAAGCUCAGUGGUGUUGGCCAGACACUGAAAAUGUUGGUAUGAACUCAUGGAUAUUAAUAUAUACAUCGACUGAUUGGUUGAAGUAAAAAGAAAUAUAUAUGUGUAUAUGUGUGCAUAUUAUCAUAUAGUCCCCUAGUUUUACCCUCUGAGAUACUGUGAAAGCAGUGACACCUCAAUAGCAAUAAGCACAUUAAACACCUGCUCUUGGCUUCUAAAUACUAUUCUCACUGAAAAGGAACAAGACUUCUUAGAAAAAUGGCCAACUCUAAGAUAAACCAGGGAAUGUAUAAGAUAGGCCUCAAAUAUUAUGUUGUACUACAAAGUAAAGAAAUGCUCAAAGAAUAACAGAGAAGCAUCAAAAAAAUGUAUAAACAAUCAAAAUGGCUC
rnacentral:lncRNA from 1 species